GGGCUCUGUUCUCCAGAGAAGGCCAUUAAAGCACAGUAACAGCUCUCCAGCUCAAACUAUCCCCUGUAUUAUUGACCAUUUUUCAUAUCAUUGUACAUUUCUCUCCCCUGUUCCUCCCCUUCUCUUUUGUUUUGUGCUCAACUAUUAACCUAUAUGGAUAAUUAUUUUGAUACUAAGAUUGUCUCCUUUACACUGGCAGAGUGCCAGACAUUUGCACUAAUAUACAUGCAAAUGAUCCCUUGCACAGCAGUGUUAUUCUCAAUUAAAAUUUUAAUAAGACAUAACUGGAGUAACAACCUCUUUGGAAACGACCCCCCCCCCCCCCCCCCCAAAAAAAAAAAAAAAAAAAGAAACACGCAAAAUAUUUCACUUUUGUGUGGUGGUGUUCAUCCUGUAAGUCACAGCUGGGUACAGAACACUGGACACGUUUUGAAUCGAAAUCUUUUGUGGCAAGAAUUUUUUGGAAAACAAAGAUCUUUAUGUGCCGCUCUCUGUCUCGCUCAAUUUUUCACUUUUCUCCAACAUAUCUGGAUGCUUACAGGUGCUAAUGAAGUCAGCCUCCCCAGAGAACAGCUCUCAUCUCUAAAGCAUACGCCAAUUAAAAAGGCAAACACUUGAUAAAACAUAACAUGCUCCACUACUUCGCACAGCCUCUCCUGUAACAUAAAAAAUAAAAAUAAAAAAAAUAAAAAAAAUACAAAAAGCACCGCCUUUUACCCCCUGGCCCUCAAAACGGCUUUAUUAGAGAAACAACAUUAGCUCCCCCAAAUUAAACAUGACAUGACAGGUGAGCAAUGCAGACAAGAACACUGAGAACGACUGGGGUCACCUUCUCAGAAGCACAUGCUGUACACCAUUUAUAUGGAUUUUAAAGUAUAGUCUCCAUUCCUUGAGGCUACUGCCUGCAGCUCUUCUUUGCACUGGCUGAAACAAUAGCGACCACAGAGAGGUAACGUGCCCAUCGUAGGGAUCUAGUCAGGACACUGAAAUAGACUGGUGGCAUAGCUUCCAGUUCUGUAGGGUUAGCAGCCAGGAGACAUUUGCCUGUGUCCCACUGGACCUUCAUGUUUUAAAACAUUAUUUAGCACUUUUUCAUUCAUUUAAUCUGCCAUAGUCCAUACCAUAGUCUACCACCAGUGAAAAACAAAGACAAAGAUUGCAGAGGUUUAUGAAGUUCUAUUUUGCACAUUAUCAAUGAAUACAAAAAAGAAAAUACAAAAAUACAAAAUUUACACCAACUCUCUUUUAUAACUGUUCAAAGUCACUUGAGGAUUUAGACACAGGC
ensembl:lncRNA